rnacentral:lncRNA from 1 species
UUGUAGAGCCUGAAUCUGAAGAUGAGAAUGUGGAGGAACAACAGUUUGAGGAUGAGCAUGAAGUGGACAUAGGGCAACAGGCGUCUGAACACGAAGAUGAGCAGGAAGUCGAAGAUGAGAUGGAAGUUGCUGAUGAUGUGGAAGAUGAGAUGGAAGUUGCUGAUGAUGUGGAAGAUGAGAUGGAAGUUGCUGAAGAACAAACACCACCACCACCAGAAAAAAAAUCACGUAAAAAGAAUCCGAGAACAACACAAGGAAGAAACCCAC